AUGCAGUGGAGCUCCUCCCUAGCAAGCUUUGGCAGCACUUCUGCAGGCACUUUCCCUGGGAGUUCUAUGGGUGCUCUAGUUGGCCUGUAGGUGGAGAGUUCAACAACAACCACCAAGGGCAGCUUCCGGAAGACUAUCGUCAACAUUCCAAUGGGCAGAUUCUUGCCCACCAGGCUUGGCCCACUGGCACUCCAGUGAAGGUUUUACUGCUUGCCUGUGCUGUCCUGUACUUCCCUGACCACCAGCUCAGCCCAGUAACUGCGGGCCAGUUCUGGCUCAGGGCAGCCCAGCAAACUUCCCCACAGCCUAGUGGGUUACAAUCGCAACCUCUUCAAGAAGGCUGGAAUCUCAUAUCUGAGAUCUUUGGGGAUAGGUAAUUGGUUGCAGUGUUUCUCGGAAAGAAGUAGAUGGGCAGGCUACUAAAAUAUUUCUUGAUCUAUGUAACAGAAAAAUCUGUAAGUCUGGCCAAAAACCUGACUUGAGUAGCCAGUUUCCAGACCUAAGUCAGGGCACAGACCCAGAGCCUCUUGACCGAAAGGGACCCUGGAGCCCCUUGAGGAAGGCCUCUGCUGCAUUUUUACAAACAUUGGACGAUUAUUGGAGAAUAACUGUGGUUUGUCAUAAACUGAAUCAGGCAGUGAUUCCAAAUGCAGCUGUCGUCUCUGUUGAACCUUUACUGGAGCAAAUCAGUGCAAUUCCCAGCCUUUGGUUGCCAGCACAACCAGGACAAAAUCUCUGGGUUUUUCUCACUCCUCUGCAGAGGAGCUGGGAACAUAGCACUGCCUGGGCACCAGGGGACCUGGGUGGUCUAUUAGCCUCAAGAGGUGGUCUGAGAUAAGAAGGUCCCGUGGCCAAAUACUCUUGGAAAAUACUGCGUCAUUUACCUCUUGAGUAUUAUCAUUAUACACAAUUUAUUAAAGAUCGACAGUAUUAGAACUCUGUUUUAUUUUGUUUAAACCAGUGUUUCCCAAUCCCAAUUGACCAGGAAGACUUUCUUUUUGACAUAUUACUCAGUAACAGAAACAUAGCUAAUUAACAUCUUGAGAGCCUUACAAUUUUAUGGUUUAUGGAUAUACAUUUGAUGUUUUCAACACUCUCCAAAACUAUACUAAUUGGCUCUCCUUCUAAACUGUUAUAUCCUCCUCUUCUGCUCUUGAACUACUAGGUCAGAGGCCCCAUCCUCCUAGAAGGUCGUUCUUCAAACUGCCAACAACACGAGAUUUUGCUUCUCCCCAUCCCGCGGGUGUAUUGAUUAUACCGAUAGAUGUUUACAGGGUCUUGGGCCUGAGAUUCAGGGAUCAGGCUUGAAGAUUGGGGUCAAAGCUUUACAGACUUUCUCCCUACAGUCCAAUUAAAGUACAAAAUGAAAGUGACUUUUGAAAGCCAAAUGGGGCCCAUUCAUCAAUAGCCUGAGAUUUUUUAAAAAUUUGCUUUUAAUAAUUGAGAAUAAUGUGGAGCAGUGGAAUAAACACAGCCAGGAGACAGACUGACCUGGGUUUGCUACCAGUCUUUCUCAAUGCUACCUUCACAGCUGCCGCAGAAGGCCUGGUGGCCUCUGGUGCUGGGCUCACCACAUAGUCCGGAUUCUCAGGAUCUGACUGAAAUCACAUUGUGGUCUUCUGCCCUAGCUUUCUUUUCUUGUCAUAUGAGAGUGCACUUGCUUUGCCAGAACCUAAGCUGCAUCUGGAAACUUAAACGUAAGGGCUUUUGGGCAAUGUAGAUUUUUCUUUCAGUUUUUCCGCCUUGACAAUUUGAGGAGGACCCAAGACAAAGGUCAGAGUGAGAAAUGAGCUGGGCAAUCCACAGCAUAUGCAAACCUCCUCAAGCCUCAGUGGAGUUCCAUUGGUGCUUGUACGUCAUCUUGUCCCUCCUUUGUCCACACUCAUCUCUUCUUUGGACCCAGGAAACCUCUAAUCCUGGGUUUUGUCCUCCUCAAUGCUUUCUACUUCCUUUGAGAACUUAUAUUUAUUUUUCCAAGCAGGAAUGUUGCCCUGGCAUCAUUUCCUCUAUUCUCU
rnacentral:lncRNA from 1 species